GUACUAUGUUUGUGGAUUGGGAAUAAAAGAGACUGUAUGUGACAGUACAGGGAGUUCCUGUUUUAACCCUCAAAGUGAAGUGUCGUCUCAUUAUUGGGGGAAGGAUUUAUUGUAUGCUGUUCCAGUUUGACUGCUAGGAGAGUAAACCUAUUCGUAUGGUUCCUAUUCAACUGUCUACAGCAUUCAUAUGCUUGAGAGGAUUCACAUGCUUCUCCGGUUCGGUGGUUGUGGUGUCUGCUGCAGUGCUUGGAGUCCUCAGGAAGCGCUAGGAGCAUCCUUUAACGGAGGUACCCAGUCGGGGUGCCAGGUGAUCCGUUACAUUGGUGGCAAGCGGUGGGAUGGCGUCCUAGUGCGAGGUAAAGCAGCUCAGAGACACAGUUUGUGGAUUUACAAAUUGAAGGCGACGCUAGUGUUCAUACAGCGUCCCUGUCUACAUAAAGAUUUGGGAAAACCAGCACUACUUCAGAGAUGGAAGGCCGUGCAGUAUCUCACUUUGACGCCAGGCUCCAGCAGCGACUACAGGAUGUGAUGCGCAGUAUGGAGUAUCCUAUCCCAGAGGAAAGAGAGACAGAGUGGAGGGUGGCUCUUCGUACCGAUCUCUGGAAGGAGGACAUCGACGAAAUUCGACCCUUCCAGUGCGAGGAAAUCCUGACCACUAACCAGCGCCAAGCAGAACAACUAGAGCUGCGGAUGCCGUUAUUGGGAAACCAGCCCUCAGAGGAAUGGGUAAGCGAACUGGAGACGCUAGUUGAGACUGAGGUGUGGCUGGAUGAUUCCUAUCGGGCCCUGCGGUGGCAUGUUUACCACCUCUACCCAUGGCUGAUUGAGUACAAGUGUAUUGAGGGGGAAGACUACGAUGGCCCUGGUUUGUUGUGGGAUACUAUUGAAACUAGUCUCUGGUUCGGAGACACCGACAUUGCUCGCUUCUGGUCCAUCCGAGCUGAGCGGGCAGACAACUGGGACCUUACAGAGAUCGAUGCUAUUCAGUCAGAUCUAUCUUUUCUUGCCAACCGAGAGUGGGAACUAGAACAGGAUUAUGUUUGCCUAUUCCAACGUAUAACGCCGCCUGUCUCUGACAUGAUGGGGCUUAUUGACU